UAAUGAAUCCACUUCCUGCUGUACCAGGUCAUUUCCUGUUCACUCACUCUUCCUGGUUGCACUGAAAGAUAUACUUGACAUAUGCUGUUCACAUGCUUUGAAGCUCAUCCACAGCCAUCCGUGUGGAAAACACUGUUGAGGCAAUGGCUGCUCUGUUGGCUGCCUCUCAGGGAGGUCAGAAGUUCAGGGCAGAUAGACAUGGGCACGUGGUCAGCGGUAAUCACACACAGGCUGAGGAGCCACUCAGGUCAGCUCUGUCGGGAACAGCAGGCUGCAGCCGUCACAGACAAAUAAAUAGAUAAAUGGAUGGAGAGGAAAUUUCGGAGCAAGAGAGAGUAACGUCAGACCAUCCAUCUCUUUCCACAUAGGUGGGACAGAGUGAUGAAUUUCCACUGGCAUCGUCGGAGUACUAGUAUCUAAGACCACGUCUCUAAAACUGCCAGUGUGCAUGAAUAAUUCAUUAAAGCUGAGUUAUUCAGGUACAAAUCUACCAACUUCAAAACUAUUUUUUCUGACAACUAUCAAAACAUUUUCACCCCAUUAAAAAUUCUCUUAGGGAAGCACAGGCAGUAAAAUAGACAGGGAAAGUACACUCCCACAAGACGGGCACCUGAAAUAGACCGAGUCAGAGGAAGUGGGGCAGUUGUAACAUUACCAUGAAUUACGGAGCAAAUGAGCAGCUAAAAAUAUAAAAAACACAAAGAGGGGAGAUAAUAUGGGAGAAUGGCACAUUAAACCCAAGCACACUUUGGUAAGUAAUGGCCUUUCGGCAGGAAGUCACGGUCUCUUAGUGCCAAUGAAGCCUUUAUCUGUUCAACCAUUUGUCAUUUCCCUCAGCACCAGAAUGGGAACAGCCUGUACGCAGGAGCCAAAAGUACUAGUGUGAUGUUUGCAGAAAUAAAUGGGGUUACUCUGCAGGGGCUAUGCAAACAAAUUAAAUGUGUGUGUGUGUGUAUGUGCACAUCUGUUUGUUUGUGUGCGUGUGUAUGGUCUUUUGCUCUGAAGCAAUGCACCUAACAGCAGGUGUCUGCAGAAAAUAUGUCAAAGCUCACUUUAACAAAACUCUGUGAUAAUAAAACCAAACUUUUCAAGAUUUUUUUUUUUUCAAAUUAUUGUACAUGAGCAGACAUGGGCAAACUACGGUUUGGGGGCUUGGUGCGGCUCGUUCAGUUAUUUAAUCUGAUCCGCCAAACUUUUCCAAAUUAUAUAAUUUAUUUAUAAUAUCAUUAUACUUCUGCAUUUUCCUUCUGCAAUACCCACGUUUCCCCAAUAAAUGAAGAUGAUAGUAGAAGAUGAUAAAAUCAUUUUAGCCUUUAUGCAUGACUUUUACAUGUUAUUUAUCUUAAUUCACAGAAACGCUCCAUCUAUCUGCUCCUGACCCGGCCCCCCUGUUCAAUUUUAGGACAAUUGUGCCCCGUGAGUCAAAAGGUUUGCCCACGCCUGUACUUGAGCAUCAUAUUUUUGAACUCUCAGCAAGCAUGUAACAAGAAAAGUAGAAUUGAAUUAGUACAUGUACAGGCAUGACAUCACAUUGUCUUUUGACGCGCCCCACUUUUACUUCACGGCCACUAUUCUUUACCCUAAUCUUCCUCCACUCUUCCUCUCCUCUUGUAUAGAGUGUUCCACCGUGUCUUCCCUCACCGUAUCCUCCCUUCCUCCUCCCUCCCGUGCUGCUGUCUCUCUGGCUAUCACGGUCUCUGAAGGGAAUACCCUGACAUUUGAUGUGACAUGAAACUGGAUGUCUAUAGCCAUUCUCACAUCGAUGCCCUUGUGAAGUGUAAUCCAUGCUGCGACUAAUUGAGUGACACAGCAGCAGCCCGAGGGAGUGAACCGGUCGCUCCUGGUGAAGAUGUGUCUCUGACCUGUUUUUGUUCAUUUGUUUCUCAGACAAAUUGGGAGUUUUAUUCCUCUUAGCGCUCUCUUGUCAACGUUGUACGGUGUUGCGUCCUGUUGAAUGUGACCUUGCGUGUCUUUAACAAUCUGAACAACAGGGAAGCUAUUUUUGCUAUAAUAUGUCAUAUAUUCUACAAAAUAGGUCAACACUGUUUUAAAAUGACAUAAGGGCCCUGUGCACUCGGCGAACCUGAGAGUGGUCCACACACUUUUCAGUGGCUGUUGCUGGAUGACUCACCACGUCUAUGUCACCUGUCUGACCAUCACUUUCUCACCAGUCAUUAAUUUAACCUGUUACAGUCCGCAUGCACACACAAAAAAAGCAUUUCCUUUCCUGUCACUAGAUUUUAUUCUCACUAAAUGCCUACGUCCCAAAUCUUUGUCACGCUCAAUGCUUUUGAAGAUCACACAUCUUUGGUUUUUGCAUUGGAUUUUAAGAUAAAUAACACAGUUACUUCUCCACAAAAAACUUUAUGUGUGUGUGUGUGUGUGUCUGUGUGCAGGCUAAAACACCUACACCGAGAACUGUGCUCUCACACACCCCUUGUAAAAUAUACAAACCCACAAGCGUGGAUUUUAAAACACAGACAGGGAUCCAGAAGUGUCCAUUUACUCGCUCGACCCUCAGGUUGGCUGUGGCACAUAGUAACAACCUCUUAAUUACUUUGUCAAUGACAGGCGGGUGGCAAAUGACGGCACAAUGGCAGGCACAGCACAACGGAGGGGAAUAAUGAAUGGACCCCAGAUGAACACAAACAUGACAUACAUACCUGCAGGAUUUCCUUCACCAGGCUCCCCCCUGCCUUGCGCUCCUGUCUCCCUCUUUGUGAAGAGCCUGUUUCUGGAGGAGAGACUGUUCCCCCUUAUCGAGUCGGAGACCAGGGCUCAGCUGCAGAGACUGACAUCAUCCCUUUCAGGAGGCUUUCCCCCUCCCACUAUCUGCACCCUCUCCUUCUCGUUCUGCCUUUGUCUCUCUCUCUCUCCCUCUCUCUCGCUUCCGUUACUCUACCGCUCACUCUGUACAGUAGUACGCUCCUCCUAUCUCCUCCUCCUCUGCUUCACCUUUUUAAUUCUGCUCGUUCUUGGCGUCUUCUUUAUUCGGUUCCACUGCAAUUUCUCACCACAUAAGAGAAAGUUGCACUUAAACUGUGGAUUUAUUCACACAGCUGAUAAAGUAUAACUUUAUCUGUAGUUUAUGUCUGGACUACUAUAAUACAGCCCCCAGGAUUAAAGAUUUUCCUAUGAUAAAUUAUUGGACAUAUAUAUUUAAAUGAAUAAAACAUGUUU